UACGGGAGGGGCAAGCGUUGUUCGGAAUUACUGGGCGUAAAGGGCUCGUAGGCGGCCAACUAAGUCAGACGUGAAAUCCCCAGGCUCAACCUGGGAACUGCGUCUGAUACUGGAUGGCUUGAAUCCGGGAGAGGGAUGCAGAAUUCCAGGUGUAGCGGUGAAAUGCGUAGAUAUCUGGAGGAAUACCGGUGGCGAAGGCGGCAUCCUGGACCGGCAUUGACGCUGAGGAGCGAAAGCCAGGGGAGCAAACGGG
rnacentral:rRNA from 1 species